AAACCAUGGUGUGGACCACUGUAUAGUUGUAGCCUUUGAAAUCUCUCCCAGGCCUCACAAAUGGAUUCAGACUGCUUUUGGGUGAAACUGGAGAUUUCAUUCCUUAGACG
rnacentral:snoRNA from 1 species